rnacentral:rRNA from 1 species
UUCCAGACUCCUAAGGGAGGCAGCAGUAGGGAAUAAUGCUCAAUGGGGGAAACCCUGAUGCAGCGACACCGCGUGGGUGAAGAAGCGCUUCGGCGUGUAAAGCCCUAUCAGUGGGGAAGAAAAAGGACGGUACCCAAAGAAGAAGCACCGGCUAAAUACGUGCCAGCAGCCGCGGUAAUACGUAUGGUGCAAGCGUUAUCCGGAUUUACUGGGUGUAAAGGGGGCGCAGACGGCGAUGCAAGCCAGGAGUGAAAGCCCGGGGCCCAACCCCGGGACUGCUCUUGGAACUGCGUGGCUGGAGUGCAGGAGGGGCAGGCGGAAUUCCUGGUGUAGCGGUGAAAUGCGUAGAUAUCAGGAGGAACACCGGUGGCGAAGGCGGCCUGCUGGACUGCAACUGACGUUGAGGCCCGAAAGCGUGGGGAGCAAACAGGAUUAGAUACCCCUGUAC